CCUACGGGAGGCAGCAGUGGGGCAUAUUGCACAAUAGGGGCAACCCUGAUGCAGCGACGCCGCGUGUGGGAAGACGGUCCUCUGGAUUGUAAACCACUUUCCCCAGGGACAAAGAUGACGGUAUCUGGGGAGGAAGCUCCGGCAAACUACGUCCCAGCAGCCGCGGUAAUAGGUAGGGCGCGAGCUUUGUCCGGAAUUACGGGGGGUAAAGGGUGCGUAGGCGGGACUGGAAGUUGGGUGGAAAAUCUACCGGCUCAACCGGUAGCCGCACUGGAAACUGGAGUUCUUGAGUGAAGUAGAGGCAGGCGGAAUUCCGAGUGUAGCGGUGAAAUGCGUAGAUAUUAGGAGGAACACCAGUGGCGAAGGCGGCCUGCUGGGCUUUUACUGACGCUGAGGCUCGAAAGUGUGGGGAGCAAACAGGAUUAGAUACCCGUGUAGUC
rnacentral:rRNA from 1 species